UUCACAAUUCCACAGUCAAAGUAACCGCAUAAUUUAAUGCUUAUGUUUUAGCUCUCAUCAAGAAAUCAAACCAGUAACAUUAACUGAGAAUUUUCAUUACAUUUUACAUGUAAUCAUAUCCACUUGAAAAAAAAGGAUAAAAGGAAACAAAAAGAAAUACAUACAUACAUAUAUAUAUAUAUAUA